rnacentral:rRNA from 1 species
GACGGAGGGUGCUAGCGUUGUUCGGAAUGACUGGGCGUAAAGCGCACGUAGGCGGCUUGUUAAGUCAGGGGUGAAAUCCUGGAGCUCAACUCCAGAACUGCCUUUGAUACUGGCGAGCUCGAGUUCGGGAGAGGUGAGUGGAACUGCGAGUGUAGAGGUGAAAUUCGUAGAUAUUCGCAAGAACACCAGUGGCGAAGGCGGCUCACUGGCCCGAUACUGACGCUGAGGUGCGAAAGCGUGGGGAGCAAACAGG